CCCCAACUCCAACAUACUACUACAAGUCACCGCCUCCCCCUACUCCCACCUACUAUUACAAGUCGCCGCCUCCCCCAACGCCCACAUAUCACUACAAAUCGCCACCACCUCCCACACCCACAUACUACUACAAGUCGCCUCCUCCCCCAAAGCCCACAUACUACUACAAAUCGCCUCCUCCUCCCACUCCUACAUACUACUACAAGUCACCACCUCCCCCGACUCCAACCUACUACUACAAGUCACCCCCGCCCCCAAAACCCACAUACUACUACAAGUCGCCUCCUCCUCCCACUCCAACUUACAAGUACAAGUCACCCCCUCCCCCCAAACCCACAUACUACUACAAGUCGCCGCCUCCUCCUACUCCCAAAUACUACUACAAGUCGCCACCUCCUCCUACCCCCACUUACUAUUACCNN
rnacentral:lncRNA from 1 species